UACGUAGGGGGCAAGCGUUGUCCGGAUUUAUUGGGCGUAAAGAGCGUGUAGGCGGUCAGGUAGGUCCGUUGUGAAAACUCGAGGCUCAACCUCGAGACGCCGAUGGAAACCAUCUGACUAGAGUCCGGAAGAGGAGAGUGGAAUUCCUGGUGUAGCGGUGAAAUGCGCAGAUAUCAGGAAGGAACACCCAUGGCGAAGGCGCUCGCUGG
rnacentral:rRNA from 1 species